AUUGAACGCUGGCGGCAUGCCUUACACAUGCAAGUCGAACGGUAACGGGCCUUCGGGCGCCGACGAGUGGCGAACGGGUGAGUAAUGCAUCGGAACGUACCUUUCAGUGGGGGAUAACGUAGCGAAAGUUACGCUAAUACCGCAUAUUCUGUGAGCAGGAAAGCAGGGGAUCGCAAGACCUUGCGCUGAUUGAGCGGCCGAUGUCAGAUUAGCUAGUUGGUGAGGUAAAGGCUCACCAAGGCGACGAUCUGUAGCGGGUCUGAGAGGAUGAUCCGCCACACUGGAACUGAGACACGGUCCAGACUCCUACGGGAGGCAGCAGUGGGGAAUUUUGGACAAUGGGGGCAACCCUGAUCCAGCCAUGCCGCGUGAGUGAAGAAGGCCUCGG
rnacentral:rRNA from 1 species